rnacentral:lncRNA from 1 species
CUAACCGUGCUUAAUCUUGAGGUUGUGUUAGUGAGCGCAUAACUAAAAUAAAUCCUUUACCUAAUAAUUUACUUGCUUACCUAAGAGGGGCUGUUCUCGCGAUUGAUUGAAGUAUGCUUGCUUCUCUGCUAAAUGAUAAUGUGGGUGGAUUCGAGGACCUCCUUUUCUGAAGUGAAAGAAGGGACAUCCACCAUCAUGAAUCCCCUCCUAGUAGAGGCGAGUGCAGGUCCUGACUAGGUUUUAGUCUCUAUUCUUUCUCGUUUCGGGUAUACUUACGAGCUAGGAUAUCUUGGAAAGUCUAACUCGGGACCAUCUGACCGGACUACCAAGCUUGACUAUCAAGCCGUUAUCUUUCAUUUAGUCAAUACCAGUGCCCGCUAAAAGCUAAGAGGGGCUGUUCUCGCGAUUGAUUAAAGUAUGCUUGCUUCUCUGCUAAUGAUAAUGUGGGUGGAUUCGAGGACCUCCUUUUCUGAAGUGAAAGAAGGGACAUCCACCAUCAUGAAUCCCCUCCUAGUAGAGGCGAGUGCAGGUCCUGACUAGGUUUUAGUCUCUAUUCUUUCUCGUUUCGGGUAUACUUACGAGCUAGGAUAUCUUGGAAAGUCUAACUCGGGACCAUCUGACCCCUGUCCUGACUAGGGUUUAGUCUCUAUUCUUUCUCGUCUCGGGUAUACUUACGAGCUAGGAUAUCUUGGAAAGUCUAACUCGGGACCAUAUGACCGGGCUACCAAGCUUGACUAUCAAGCCGUUAUCUUUCAUUUAGUCAAUACCAGUUCCCGCUAAAAAGCUUAGCUUACAGUGGUGCUUGAAUAAGGGGAAUCCGAUAUUGAAUAGAGUGCUGCAACAAAUUGUCAUUGUUCAUUUUCAUUUGCUUUGUUCUCUUUGACUGAUCAAAAAAUUCAGAAAGACUUGUCGGAAAUCAGAAAUCAGCGGUUGGCGUAGGGCU